GGCAUCGAUGAAGAACGCAGCGAAAUGCGAUAAGUAAUGUGAAUUGCAGAAUUCAGUGAAUCAUCGAAUCUUUGAACGCACAUUGCGCCCAUUAGUACUCUGGUGGGCAUGCCUGUUCGAGCGUCAUUACGACCCUUAAGCCUAGCUUAGUAUUGGGAACCUACGUGCGGCAGCUACCCUGUAGCUACCCUGUAGCUCCUUAAAGACAACGGCGGAGACGUGGAGUCCUCUGAGCUUAGUAAACUUUUUCUAGCUUCUGAAGGCGCCGCGGCCCCUGCCGUAAAACCCCCCAACUCUUUAGUGGUUGACCUCGGAUCAGGUAGGAAUACCCGCUGAACUUAAGCAUAUCAAUAAGCGGAGGAAAAGAAACCAACAGGGAUUGCCUUAGUAACGGCGAGUGAAGCGGCAACAGCUCAAAUUUGAAAGCUGGCCUUCGGGUCCGCGUUGUAAUUUGUAGAGGAUGCUUUUGGUUAGGUGCCUUACGAGUUCCCUGGAACGGGACGCCUUAGAGGGUGAGAGCCCCGUACGUUUGGUUACCGAGCCUCUGUAAAGCUCCUUCGACGAGUCGAGUAGUUUGGGAAUGCUGCUCUAAAUGGGAGGUAAAUUUCUUCUAAAGCUAAAUACCGGCCAGAGACCGAUAGCGCACAAGUAGAGUGAUCGAAAGAUGAAAAGCACUUUGAAAAGAGGGUUAAAUAGCACGUGAAAUUGUUGAAAGGGAAGCGUUUAUGACCAGA
rnacentral:rRNA from 1 species